AGCAGUGAGGAAUAUUGGUCAAUGGGCGAGAGCCUGAACCAGCCAAGUCGCGUGAGGGAGUACUGCCCUAUGGGUUGUAAACCUCUUUUGUCGGGGAGCAAAAGCCGGACGUGUCCGGCUGUGAGAGUACCCGAAGAAAAAGCAUCGGCUAACUCCGUGCCAGCAGCCGCGGUAAUACGGAGGAUGCGAGCGUUAUCCGGAUUUAUUGGGUUUAAAGGGUGCGCAGGCGGAUUUUUAAGUCAGCGGUCAAAUCGUGGGGCUCAACCCCAUCCAGCCGUUGAAACUGGGGAUCUAGAGUGUGCGAGAGGUAUGCGGAAUGCGUGGUGUAGCGGUGAAAUGCAUAGAUAUCACGCAGAACCCCGAUUGCGAAGGCAGCAUACCGGUGCACAACUGACGCUCAGGCACGAAAGCGUGGGUAUCGAACAGGAUUAGAUACCCUGGUAGUCCACGCAGUAAACGAUGAAUGCUACCUGUUUGGCCAGAUUGAUGGCUGAGCGGG
rnacentral:rRNA from 1 species